rnacentral:rRNA from 1 species
GAUGAACGCUGGCGGCGUGCUUAACACAUGCAAGUCGAACGGAAAGGCUCCUGCUUGCAGGGGUACUCGAGUGGCGAACGGGUGAGUAACACGUGGGUGAUCUGCCCUGCACUUCGGGAUAAGCCUGGGAAACUGGGUCUAAUACCGGAUAGGACCACAUUUUGGAUGGUGUGGUGGAAAGUUUUUCGGUGUGGGAUGAGCUCGCGGCCUAUCAGCUUGUUGGUGGGGUAAUGGCCUACCAAGGCGUCGACGGGUAGCCGGCCUGAGAGGGUGUACGGCCACAUUGUGACUGGGAUACGGCCCAGACUCCUACGGGAGGCAGCAGUGGGGAAUAUUGCACAAUGGGCGCAAGCCUGAUGCAGCGACGCCGCGUGGGGGAUGACGGCCUUCGGGUUGUAAACUCCUUUCGCUAGGGACGAAGCGUUUUUGUGACGGUACCUGGAGAAGAAGCACCGGCUAACUACGUG